rnacentral:rRNA from 1 species
UACGUAGGGUGCAAGCGUUGUCCGGAAUUAUUGGGCGUAAAGAGCUCGUAGGCGGUCUGUCGCGUCUGCUGUGAAAACUCAGGGCUUAACCCUGAGCUUGCAGUGGGUACGGGCAGACUAGAGUGCGGUAGGGGAGACUGGAAUUCCUGGUGUAGCGGUGAAAUGCGCAGAUAUCAGGAGGAACACCGGUGGCGAAGGCGGGGUCUCUGGG